AGUGAACGCUGGCGGUAGGCCUAACACAUGCCAGUCGAACGGCAGCACAGUAAGAGCUUGCUCUUACGGGUGGCGAGUGGCGGACGGGUGAGGAAUACAUCGGAAUCUACUUUUUCGUGGGGGAUAACGUAGGGAAACUUACGCUAAUACCGCAUACGACCUACGGGUGAAAGCAGGGGAUCUUCGGACCUUGCGCGAUUGAAUGAGCCGAUGUCGGAUUAGCUAGUUGGCGGGGUAAAGGCCCACCAAGGCGACGAUCCGUAGCUGGUCUGAGAGGAGGAUCAGCCACACUGGAACUGAGACACGGUCCAGGCUCCUACGGGAGGCAGCAGUGGGGAAUAUUGGACAAUGGGCGCAAGCCUGAUCCAGCCAUACCGCGUGGGUGAAGAAGGCCUUCGGGUUGUAAAGCCCUUUUGUUGGGAAAGAAAAGCAGCAGGUUAAUACCCCGCUGUUCUGACGGUACCCAAAGAAUAAGCACCGGCUAACUUCGU
rnacentral:rRNA from 1 species